rnacentral:lncRNA from 1 species
UUCUAAAAUUGUAAUCAAUUUGUAAAGUAAUUUUAGUAUAAAACUUUUGAGAGGUAAUAAUAUUUAUUUUUUGUAAAAAUUCAUUUCUGUCUUCACUGAUGUCAAAAAAGAAUCUUUUGUAUGAUCUUGGCUAAUUUUCUCAGUAUUACUAUUUUUAGAAAUCUGAGUCUCAGAAAUCUCAAUUUCAUUUGCUUUAGAAGUCUCAACCUUGUUUGCUUGUAAAUGUAAAUCAAAAGUCCUAUUCUCUUCUAAGCUAGAAAUUCUUCUAUCAUAGAUUUUUGACUGAUUUUUCAAAUAAAUAAUUUCUUCUUUUAA